rnacentral:rRNA from 1 species
GAUUCGAAUUGAAGUGCUUACUGCAUUUUUUCUUACACAUGUGUUUUUCUUUUUUUGAAAACUUUGCUUUGGUAGGCCUUCUAUAUGGGGCCUGCCAGAGAUUAAACUCAACCAAAUUUUAUUUAAUGUCAACCGAUUAUUUAAUAGUCAAAACUUUCAACAACGGAUCUCUUGGUUCUCGCAUCGAUGAAGAACGCAGCGAAAUGCGAUAAGUAAUAUGAAUUGCAGAUAUUCGUGAAUCAUCGAAUCUUUGAACGCACAUUGCGCCCUUUGGUAUUCCAAAGGGCAUGCCUGUUUGAGCGUCAUUUCUCCCUCAAACCCUCGGGUUUGGUGUUGAGCGAUACGCUGGGUUUGCUUGAAAGAAAGGCGGAGUAUAAACUAAUGGAUAGGUUUUUUCCACUCAUUGGUACAAACUCCAAAACUUCUUCCAAAUUCGACCUCAAAUCAGGUAGGACUACCCGCUGAACUUAAGCAUAUCAAUAAGUCGGAGGAA